AUUGAACGCUGGCGGCGUGCUUAACACAUGCAAGUCGAACGCGAACGGGGCUUCGGCCCCAAGUAGAGUGGCGCACGGGUGAGUAACGCGUGGACAAUCUGCCCUUAUGACUGGAAUAACAGUUGGAAACGGCUGCUAAUACCGGAUACGCUCAGGAAGAACUUUUUUGAGGAAAGGCGGCCUCUGCUUGCAAGCUGUCGCAUAAGGAUGAGUCCGCGUCCCAUUAGCUAGUUGGCGGGGUAAUGGCCCACCAAGGCAACGAUGGGUAGCCGAUUUGAGAGGAUGAUCGGCCACACUGGGACUGAAACACGGCCCAGACUCCUACGGGAGGCAGCAGUGGGGAAUAUUGCGCAAUGGGCGAAAGCCUGACGCAGCGACGCCGCGUGAGGGAUGAAAAGGUUUUCGGAUCGUAAACCUCUGUCAGAAGGGAAGAAACUGCCGUGCUCUAAUCAUCAUGGCAUUGACGGUACCUUCAAAGGAAGCACCGGCUAACUCCGUGCCAGCCGCCGC
rnacentral:rRNA from 1 species